rnacentral:lncRNA from 1 species
UUGUCAGUAGGAGGGAUAUACUUAUGACACACGUGUUUGACAAAGGACCCCCUAUCUAUAAUACAGAAACAAUAAGAAAACCAACCAGUCCAAAUAAAAAUAGGCAAAUGCUUUGAACAGCCCCUUUCCCAAAGAGGAUAUUCUAAAGGUUGCUAAACACAUGGGAACUGCUCACCACAAUACUGGUCCAUGAGCUAAUGCAGAUUAAAACUUAGCUACUAAAAUGAUCAAGAUUUUAAACAUCAAUAGCAGCAAGGAUUGGCUGGGCUCUGGACCACUGAAUCAUCUAUAUAUCUUUGAAGAGGGGUUGCUGGUACAACCACUUUGGAAAAUUGUUAGGUAGGAUUCCCUAAAGCUACGCAUGCCAAGCUGUGAUGCAGUGAUCUGAAAUAAGUGUCAGCGAAAGGAGGCUUUGGAGCCAUCAAAGGCGGGAAGUCUGUCUAUAGCAGCCUUAGAGAAACAGUCGACCUGGAAGUAAUCCACACAUCAACAGAAACUGAAUGGACAACUGGCACACUAUGCAAUAGUGAGCCGUCACUUCAAACUGUGGCAUUCGUAACUUUCACACAGUGCACUGAGAGAUGGAAGCUGACAUAGAACAUACUUGACAAGAGACUGCAAUUCCUAUGAAGGGGACAGGCAAAGAAAGGAAUCUAUAACAAGUCAGUCAGGACACUGGGUACUUCCAAUGAGGGAGCAGUCACCUGGAAGAGAGGAAGAGGGAGAAUUCUGGGUGCCUGAAGUACUGUUGCUACUUUGCCCAUAGCUGCUUAGGUGGUCUGCUCCAGAGAUGAAUUCUGUGAUCUGUACAGAGCUGACUGCAUGUAUAUUGUGUCCUAAUGAAGAAGACAUUAAAGUGAGCAAUUUAACUUCAGCAGUGACUUACUAUACUGGAUUUUGAAGCUCUGAAAUGAAAUCUAAUUUUUUUUUAUUAUUUUGGAAGGAGUUUUAGGUUUUCAGAAAAAAAUUACAAAGACGGAGCAGAGUGUCCUCACGUACAGCACACCAGUUACCCUCAAGUUGAAGUCUUACAUAACUGUGGUACGUUUGUCGGCUGAGACAUUUGCACUGGUGUGAGACUAACUAGACUCUGGACUGUAUUCUGAUUUCACCAGUUCCCCCGCCCCCACCCCCCCGUGGACACUAUUUUUACUAGCUCUAGCAUCCAAAGCAGGAUGUAUUCUGCACAUUUAGCAAUGGAGUUUUUACUGUAACGAAUUCAUGUCCUUGGAGACACAUACAUACACAAAUCCAGCAUGCUCUGCCCUUUAUCUUCCCC